rnacentral:lncRNA from 1 species
CCGCCCGCAUGACCCACAAACCCGCGGGUCGACUAUUUUUUUUAACUCACAAUUCUGACCCGCAUAACCCGUGAAAGAAAAUUCAUACACCCGCGCCCGCUCCGCUGAGAUUUGCUGGUAACCCGCGGGGCCUGCGGAUAAUAUUAAAUUUAGUAAAUAAUUAUUUUUAUUAUAUAUUAAUUAAUUUUAUAAUAAAAAUAAUACAUUUAUAAUUUAUAUUAUAUAAUUCUAAGUAUUUUAUAUAUUUUUACAUUUUUUUAAUUUUUUAUUUUUUUAAAAAAAAAUAUUGUUUUUUUCUAUUUUGCGGGUUGGCGGAUAUUUGCGACUCCAAUUCGAUGGACCCGCACCCACUCUGCCGAAAAUCGACUCAACCUGCAUCCGCAUGUUGAAAUUUGUAAAUCGGUCGAUUCGCACCUGUGCUGCAGCUUGUCAAACGAGGAGGAUCCGCAGAUAAUGUCCCAAAUUCCCGGCUCUACCUCUAUGGUAGAAAAAAACAUAUAGAAGAAUAUUUUUGAGAUAGUCUUACAUGCCGAUGGAGACUAUAAUAAUGAGUUUUCUUACUUAGAAGUUAGAAACCAAAUGAUUAAAUCUUUACUGGCUUUGUGUUCUAGUGGGAAUAUAUGCCAAAUUUUAAUUCUAAACUUAGACAACUCGUUGUUGUUUUUUAUUGGAUGUUUUUGUUCCAUAUCUGAAAGUUUAUAUUGACGAAGCAAAUUUUUUUUUUUUUGAGAAAGGGCUAUAUAUUGACAAAGUUGAUAGUUUAGUAACAAUGCUUGAUUUUUAACCUCGUGUAGAGAGAGGUUAGAAUAAUGUGGCGGUGGACCACAAUGCGAAUGUAUAUUAAUGAGUUUUUUUAACUUAUAAUUAUCUUAUUUUACAAUUAAAGAAAGCAUUGGUGCAAAACAUAAAAUUAUAUACCAAGUGGGGGCUAUCUGGUGAUAUUGAAAAUGAGAUUCAAUAUCAUUAGUUCAGCUCCAUAGGAGAGAGUUGAUUUAAGGCAACCAGGUCAAGACACAUAACCUUGUAUUAUCCCAGGGAGGCCAAUGGUCUAAGUUACAAACGUCUUCAAACGCAUACAAAGGCUUUGGAGGCUAUUCAAAAAACUUGAAAGGGAUAACAGUAUUCAUACCAACGGGCUCGGCUCAGGUCAUCAGAUAAAGCUUUUUCAUUUAGGGCUCAAACUAGAGUUAACUAAAUUGGAGCACGUUUGAUUCUUAAAUUGUAACUAUAAUGUUUCAUAAAAUCCAUUUGUUUUCCUCUUUUUCUUUUUUCUUUCUUCCUAUGUUUUUUCCUUUACAUUGAGUUAUCAUAAUUCAAAUUUGGAUUUCUUCCUCUCUUUUUUUUUUGUAGAAAUGUAAAUGUGUAAUAAAAAUUUGAUUACAGGAGAAUUUGAAAUCUAGUUUGCUAAAGUUUAAACUUAUCUUGUAAAUACUACACUUUAUACCUACAAUUCAAAAGACAAGCGACAACAAUAAACUCCUUAGCCAAACACUUCCUAAACCACAUGACAAACCUGAAGGGCAAGGAGAAGACCUAAUCGGAGGAGAUUCGCCG